AGCGAACGCUGGCGGCAGGCCUAACACAUGCAAGUCGAACGCCUGUAGCAAUACAGGAGUGGCAGACGGGUGAGUAACACGUGGGAACGUGCCCUUCGGUUCGGAAUAACUCAGGGAAACUUGGGCUAAUACCGGAUACGUCCGCGAGGAGAAAGAUUCAUCGCCGAAGGAUCGGCCCGCGUCCGAUUAGCUAGUUGGUGGGGUAAUGGCUCACCAAGGCGACGAUCGGUAGCUGGUCUGAGAGGAUGAUCAGCCACACUGGGACUGAGACACGGCCCAGACUCCUACGGGAGGCAGCAGUGGGGAAUAUUGGACAAUGGGCGCAAGCCUGAUCCAGCCAUGCCGCGUGGGUGAUGAAGGCCCUAGGGUUGUAAAGCCCUUUCGGCGGGGAAGAUAAUGACGGUACCCGCAGAAGAAGCCCCGGCUAACUUCGUGCCAGCCGCCGCGGUAA
rnacentral:rRNA from 1 species